UGCGUAGGCGGUCCGACAAGUUGGGUGUGAAAUCCCUCGGCUCAACCGAGGAACUGCGCUCAAAACUGUCGGACUUGAGGGAGACAGAGGCAAGCGGAACUUGCGGUGGAGCGGUGAAAUGCGUUGAUAUCGCAAGGAACACCAGUAGCGAAGGCGGCUUGCUGGGUCUCUUCUGACGCUGAGGCACGAAAGCUGGGGAGCAACG
rnacentral:rRNA from 1 species